UACGUAGGGUGCAAGCGUUGUCCGGAAUUAUUGGGCGUAAAGAGCUCGUAGGCGGUUUGUUGCGUCGGCUGUGAAAUCCCGAGGCUCAACCUCGGGUCUGCAGUCGAUACGAGCAAACUAGAGUGUUGCAGGGGAGACUGGAAUUCCUGGUGUAGCGGUGAAAUGCGCAGAUAUCAGGAGGAACACCGGUGGCGAAGGCGGGUCUCUGGGCAACAACUGACGCUGAGGAGCGAGAGCAUGGGGAGCGAACAGG
rnacentral:rRNA from 1 species